rnacentral:rRNA from 1 species
AAGGUGAUGCCUGCCCAGUGACUCAACGUUUAACGGCCGCGGUAUCCUAACCGUGCAAAGGUAGCGCAAUCAAUUGUCCCAUAAAUCGAGACUAGUAUGAAUGGCUAAACGAGGUCUUAACUGUCUCUUGCAGGCAAUCGGUGAAAUUGAUCUCCCUGUGCAAAAGCAGGGAUAAACCCAUAAGACGAGAAGACCCUGUGGAACUUUAAAAACAGCAGCCACCCCAAAUAACAUAACCCCCCACUGGGCCCACUCACACAUAAGCCACUGGCCUGCAUUUUUUCGGUUGGGGCGACCUUGGAGAAAAACAGAUCCUCCAAAGAUUAGACCACACCUCUAGACCAAGAGCAACCUCUCAACGUGCUAAUAGCAACCAGACCCAAUAUAAUUGAUCAAUGGACCAAGCUACCCCAGGGAUAACAGCGCAAUCUCCUUUAAGAGUCCAUAUCGACAAGGAGGUUUACGACCUCGAUGUUGGAUCAGGACAUCCUAGUGGUGCAGAAGCUACUAAGGGUUCGUUUGUUCAACG